AGAGUUUGAUCCUGGCUCAGGAUGAACGCUAGCGGGAGGCUUAAUACAUGCAAGUCGAGGGAGAAAUUGUUUUUCGAAAUAAUGGAAACCGGCGCACGGGUGAGUAACGCGUACACUACCUACCUUAUACUGGGGAAUAGCCUUUGGAAACGAAGAGUAAUACCCCAUAGUCUCGCAAGAGUAAAGCUCCGGCGGUAUGAGAUGGGUGUGCGUCUGAUUAGCUAGUUGGUGAGGUAACUGCUCACCAAGGCGACGAUCAGUAGGGGGCGUGAGAGCGUGAUCCCCCACACGGGUACUGAGACACGGACCCGACUCCUACGGGAGGCAGCAGUAAGGAAUAUUGGACAAUGGGCGAAAGCCUGAUCCAGCCAUCCCGCGUGAAGGAUGAAUGCCCUAUGGGUUGUAAACUUCUUUUGCUUGGAAAGAAACGCUCGGAUUUAUCUGAGCCUGACGGUACCUAGCGAAUAAGCACCGGCUAACUUCGUGCCAGCAGCCGCGGUAAUACGGAGGGUGCAAGCGUUAUCCGGAAUCACUGGGUUUAAAGGGUGCGUAGGCGGCGUUAUAAGUCAGAGGUGAAAGCUUGCAGCUUAACUGUAAAAUUGCCUCUGAUACUGUAGUGCUUGAAUCACGUUGAGGUCAGCGGAAUGUGACAUGUAGCGGUGAAAUGCUUAGAUAUGUCAUAGAACACCAAUUGCGUAG
rnacentral:rRNA from 1 species